CCGGAAGGAGCCCGGAGGGGCCCGGGCGGCCAGGGCGCCCCCGCCAGGAGGCCCGCCAGGUGUCCACCUGAGCCCCACGCCCUGCGCCGCGGGGCCCUUUUGGGGGCGGGGUGCCAGCUCCGAGGUGUCCUCCCACGGGCUGUAGACUGGGAAACUGAGGCCCGGGCCACGGUCCCAGACGCAGCCGGGACCCGAACCCACCUCACCUGAGCGAAUGAUAUCCGGGACUCAUCCUUUUUCGACACCUUUGCGGGAUCCAGCCCUCCAAGGAAAGCUUCCUGAGCAGUGCGCGCCACGUGUAUUGGGCACCUCACCGCGGCCACUUCACAUCCUAUCUCAGGUGGAGAAACUAAGCCACAGAAAGGAGCUGUCAUUUACCUAAAGCACCGUGGCAGGGGUUUGGCAGAGCCAGGAUUUGUACCCAGAUCGCCUGACUUCGGAGAGUAACAGCUCUUAACCACAGCACUUCGGUCUAUGCCUUGAUUUCACCAUAUGUAACAAGGGACAAGAGCUUGCCGUGUUGCCCCAGGCUGGUCUCAAACUCCUAGCCUCAAGCAAACUUCCUGUCUCGGCCUUUCAAAACCCUGAGAUUACAAGCAUAAGAAAAGAAAAUCUUGUAAGAUGAAAGCUGAAGGAUGAGAGCAAUUAAUUGAUGAAGUAUGAUGAUCCAGGUGUCCCUGGGUGAAGAAACAACCUCUACAAAGGCCCUGAGGUAGGAAUAUGCCAUUAUAGGACCUAGGAGCUGUUCUCAGGGAGCUGACGGUGAUUGAGGCUCAUGGAACAAGAAAAGAAAAAUCAUCAUCACCAUUGUCACUAUCACUACCAUAGUCAGAUGAAGAGAUGGGGUCUCCCUAUGCUUCCCAGGCUGGUCUCGAACUCCUGGACUCAAGCAAUCCUCCUGUCUUGACCUCCCAAAGUGCUGGGAUUACAGGCGUGAGCCGCCUCACCUGGCCUAUAGAAUUUUAUACAAAUGAAAUCAUACU
rnacentral:lncRNA from 1 species